AACUUGUGCUAAUACCGGAUAAGUCUUUACGGAGAAAGCUUUAUGCACCAUUGGAUGAGCCUGCACUUGAUUAGUUUGUUGGUGGGGUAAUGGCCUACCAAGACUGUGAUCAAUAGCUGAUUUGAGAGGAUGAUCAGCCACAUUGGGACUGAGACACGGCCCAAACUCCUACGGGAGGCAGCAGUGGGGAAUCUUGCACAAUGGAGGAAACUCUGAUGCAGCGAUGCCGCGUGAGUGAAGAAGGCCUUUGGGUUGUAAAGCUCUUUCGUCGGGGAAGAAAAUGACUGUACCCGAAUAA
rnacentral:rRNA from 1 species